GUAUGCUCUUGAUACAUAUAAUAUUUUAAACAGACUGUUUAUAGUGGUCACUGUAACAGAUUAAUUUAUUUCACUCUCAAUUGUGAUCUUCCUUCCCUUCCCUUUCCUUUUUUUUUUGCCGUGUUUUGAUUUUAUUUAUGUUUUAUUUUUCUUUCUUGUGUAUGCUUUUUACAGUGACAAUCACAGGCUUCAGGGUUUUGUAAACAUCUCUUCAAAAAGUCCUGCAUUUGACCUCUUAUCUAAGAUACUUGAGAAACCAGACAGAGUGGUCAAGGAGCCAAAGCUAAUUUGGUUAUUGACAAAUUUAAAUUUUAAGAUGCCAUACUGUUUAUUGAUGAAUGCACUUGCUAAGACUAGACUGACCAAUGAAGCUAAAUCAGUUUUUGAUGAAAUGCUUGAGAAAUGCGUUAGCUCAGAUGGUUAUUCCUACAGUAUCAUGAUUUCAGCAUUCUGCAGAGGUGAUAUGGAGAGCGUAAUGGAAAUGUUAAAGAAAAUGGAUGAAUUAGCUAUCAGUCCUAAUUAUAAUACCUUUCAUAUCCUAAUAAAAUAUUUCUGUAAGGAGAAGUUGUAUUUGCUUGCUUACUGAAUGACAGUGGACAUGCACAAUAAAGGCCAUCAAUUAGAUGAGGUAUGCUCCUUCCUAUUGAUUAAAACUGGCUACACAUUUUUUUCUUUGUUUUUCUGUCCAGAGAUGAGUAGAAAAAAAUAUAAUAUAUUUUUCAAUAAACAAGUUAUAUUUUUCACGUGAUUACAUUUAAUGGUUUUUUCUUGUUACUUCUCUAAUGCCUGUUUGUUUCAUCAGUGGAUGAUCACAUUUGUUACUUUGUACCGUAUCCUUAGAUCACGUCUGACUUUGAGUUUCUCAUUUGUGACGAUAUUUUAACUUGUCCCAUUCCCAGUUGUUUACAUCUUCUAAAUAACAUCAAUAAGUUAGUUUCUGGUUGUUUGUAUUGCAAAUUUAAUUGUCUCUCAUACUCUCGCUCUACCUAUGUUUUGCAAUCCUUAAGCUCCCGUCCUCACUCGCAUUCUCUUGAAAAAUCAUAUUUAAUUUUCAACUGAACUCAAUCUCUAUGAUUAUCGCUCUAGUUUGAGCUUUUUUCUAUGCAUUUUUCUCACUCAAUGUUUAUUUUGUUGUUCUGGUUUGGUAUGUUAAUGGGUUCUUUAAUAGAUGAUGGAAAAUGUUUAUGAGUAGUUUUUUUGCUGCGUUAAUUGAUGGACAUGCAGCCUAGAAAGCUUUAUAUGAACCUACCCACUUAAAGGGAGGAACUUUCACUUCAUUUUUGUGUUUAUUUCUGCAUUGUAUUGUUCACUUAUCUUUUCAAUUGACUUCUAGUGAUGAUUAUAUCAUGUAUAAUAGUAUUUCUGCCCUGUGAUGGAAAAACUCAUUAUUGGAAACAAAUUCUCCUUGGCUUUUCAUAAUUGCCCUUUACAUCUUUGCCGCCUCAUUAUCGCCACCACCACCAUCAUAUCUAUCUAUCUGUCUCUCUUUCAUUCCUUCUUUACUACUACUACUGCUACUCUCUCUAUCUCUUACGAGGUGGGUGAAGAUGUAAAUGGGCUUUGAAAAUAAUCUGUGGUUAAUAUUGUUAAUGAUCUGAUAUAGCUAUGAGAUCUGAGGGCUCUCUAAUAAUACAUUUGUUACAUUUAAUGGGUUGCUCUUGUUACUUCUAUAAUGAAUUUGUGUUUAUUCUUUGCAAUUUAAAUAUGCCAUGUACUUUUCCUAUUCCUAUGUUUCUUUUAUUAAUUUGAUGAAGAAGAAAGAACAAUCACCUUGUCCUCUAUAUCUUCAAUUAACACUAAAGAAAUUAAGAUGUGUUUUCAUGUUUUAAAAAGUUUUCCAUGUGUAUUUUUAAGACUAGUAAAACUUUAGUUGGUGUUAACUGUUACUUUAACUGUGAACUUGUGGCUCUUGAAUGGCAGAGAAUCUUAUGACUACUUCUGCCACCCAAUUUGCACUAUCACUUGAGUUAUCUCCUUGUUUUUCUUUGAAUUCGAGAAUAUUCACUCCACUUGCUUGGACACAGGUAAGUUCAUCACAAAGGCAUUGUUUCUUCUUUUAAAAGUUCUAGAUCAAUCUUGCACCAAGUUUUUUCUUAGAUGUUGAAUUUUGCAACUAGCAUUACUUUGAAGGUUUAAGAAAUAUACUAGAAUUCAUAUUUUUGCUAUUAUUUCGCUUUCUUGACAAGAAACAGAUUUUAGUUAAAUAUAAAAUCAGAGCUAAUUAAUUCUUAGCAUUUCUGUUCAUUGUAAUCUUUCUGAUUCUUAUGCUAGUUAAAUAUAAACAUGAAAGCAUACUUACUGUUAACUGCGGCCAGUGGAAUAAUGCAGAUAAAGCCUCUCAUAGGACCAACAAAGCAGAUCAUGAAAAUUGGUGUGAAAAGUUAUGACUGGCAUGAGCUUUUCCCAAAAGUACAGAAUAACGCUGGUGCAAUAAUUGCAGUAUGGGCUCCUAUAGUAGUUGUAUAUUUCAUGGACACACAGAUAUGGCAUUCUGUACAAUAUUUGGUGGAAUUUAUGGUAUUUUGCAACACCUUGGUGAGGUAAGCCAUUUCUUCUAUAUAUUUCUCACUAUUAGAGUACAUUGCAAUGUUCUUACUCUAGUGGAAUGUAUCAGAGCUUACCGCAUCAUCAUUAAGGUAAGUUUUGGUUUUUUUCGUUGAUAUGUUACUUUAGAAGAGUGACCUUCCCUGUGUUGCCCACACCCCAAAUUUUGAUUUUGUUUAUGAUUUCUUUUAAAAUGUAUCUUAGAUUGGAUAGUUUUAGUCUACAAUUUAUUUCUAAUACUUUACAAUACUAUUAAAAUAGAUUUAGUUAUGAUUUCUUGUUAAAAUUCUUUUAUUUGUAAUUUACUUUUCUAAAAUGUUCUUACAGUGGAAAAAUCUAUUUUUAUAUGCUAGAGUAAAUUGAUUUUUUCUUCCCCAAGUUAUCAUUCUCUUGCAUCUGAUAAUGGUGAAAAGAAAUUUUAGAAAUUAAAUGAAUUUGACUUCUACCAUAACAGUCAUGCUGGAAUUCAGGUUCAAUUUUUUUGCUUUGGUCAUGUUUAAUGUCUUUGUUAAUUAAUAUAGAGUAUUAAUGAAAGUUAUGUCUUGUAAUAUAUACUCUUGCAGGGAACCAGUCGGCCUACUCACUACCAUGUCUUGUUUGAUGAGAACAAUUUCCCUGCUGAUGCCUUGCAAGUUCUCACCAACAAUCUCUACUACACUUAAAUAUUAUUCAUUUUCAUUUUUUGUUCUCCGAUUCCAACAUUCUAUUGUGAACUACUUUUGUUGUUCCUGUUCUUGACUUGAUACAGGCAUUUAAGAGGCAUAAUGUUAUGUUUUUUUUUUUUUUGUAGGAUGGAAGGAGCAAUGUGCCAAGUACUCUCCUUACUCCACAUACUUUGAGGGCAGACUCAGCUCUACCAUGCCCAACUCUGUGUACAACCAAAGUAACAACUCAGAAAAUGGAAACCAUUCUAACAUCAUCUGAACAGGAUCUUGCAGGCAAAGGACACCAAGUGAAUUAGAUAGAGAGGUUAAGAACUUGAAGGUGGCAUUUAUUGACCUAUUUUUGAAGCAUAACAGUUUCAAAGAAACUGCAAAGCCAUCGAGAUAUUGAUGCGAAGAAUGGAAGAAUGUAUUUCACUAAUUUUUGUAUACAUUUCUUGUUUUGUAUUUAGUGAUAAAGGAAUCUGAAUUGGGCAUAAAUUAUGUUGUAAUAUGAUUUCUUAAGCCUAGACUAGUAGACUAAAUAUUGUAAUUACAUUUGAGUAAUUAAUAAAAAUCUAUUUAUGUUA